CACCUCAGUGUCAGUAUUAGUCCAGGUGGUCGCCUUCGCCACUGGUGUUCCUUCCUAUAUCUACGCAUUUCACCGCUACACAGGAAAUUCCACCACCCUCUACCAUACUCUAGCUCAGUCAGUUUUGAAUGCAGUUCCCACGGUUGAGCCCGGGGAUUUCACAUCCAACUUAACAAACCACCUACGUCGCGCUUUACGCCCAGUAAUUCCGAUUAACGCUUGCACCCUCUGUAUUACCGCGGCUGCUGGCACAGAGUUAGCCGGUGCUUAUUCUGUCAGUAACGUCAAAACACUAACGUAUUAGCGUUAAUGCCCUUCCUCCCAACUUAAAGUGCUUUACAAUCCGAAGGACCUUCUUCACACACGCGGCAUGGCUGGAUCAGGCUUGCGCCCAUUGUGCAAUAUUCCCCACUGCUGCCUCCCGUAGGAGUCUGGACCGUGUCUCAGUUCCAGUGUGACUGAUCAUCCUCUCAGAACCAGUUACGGAUCGUCGCCUUGGGUGAGCCAUUACCUCACCAACUAGCUAAUCCGAUCUAGGCUCAUCUGAUAGCGC
rnacentral:rRNA from 1 species